GGGUGUAACUCAAUGGUAAAGCACUCGCCUAGCAUAUGUAAGGCCCUGGGUUCAAUUCCCAACACCACA
rnacentral:tRNA from 1 species